UACGUAGGGUGCAAGCGUUGUCCGGAAUUAUUGGGCGUAAAGAGCUCGUAGGCGGCUUGUCACGUCGACUGUGAAAACCCGAGGCUCAACCUCGGGCCUGCAGUCGAUACGGGCAAACUAGAGUACUGCAGGGGAGACUGGAAUUCCUGGUGUAGCGGUGAAAUGCGCAGAUAUCAGGAGGAACACCUAUGGCGAAGGCAGCUCUCUGGUACGUGACUGGACGCUGAGACGCGAAAAGCGUCGGGGAGCGAACAGG
rnacentral:rRNA from 1 species